rnacentral:tRNA from 1 species
GCCGGGGUGGCGGAAUGGCAGACGCAAGGGACUUAAAAUCCCUCGCCCACAAAGGCGUGAGGGUUCGACUCCCUCUCCCGGCA